AAAACAUGUCUGUAUGGUUGUUGUAUAGAGUCUGGCCUGCCCACUGAUAAAGUUAAAGGGCCGCGGUAUUCUGACCGUGCGAAGGUAGCAUAAUCAUUAGUCUUUUAAUUGGAGGCUUGUAUGAAUGGUUGGACAAAAAGCAAACUGUCUCAAUUAUAUUAUUUGAAUUUAACUUUUAAGUGAAAAGGCUUAAAUGUACUAAAGGGACGAUAAGACCCUAUAAAGCUUUACAAUUAUUUAAUUAAAUUAUAAAUUGUUGGUUUAACUUGAUUUAAUUAAUAUUUGUUUCGUUGGGGCGACGAGAAUAAAAUUAAAGUAACUGUUCUUUUAUAGAUAGUCACAAAUUUGUUUGGGUAAAGAUUGAUCCUUUAUUAAAGAUCAAAAGAUUAAGUUACUUUAGGGAUAACAGCGUAAUCCUCUUUGAGAGUUCAUAUCGACAAGAGGGGUUGCGACCUCGAUGUUGAAUUAAAGUAUCCUUGUGGUGUAGCAGUUACAAAGGAGGGUCUGUUCGACCUUUAAUUCUUUACAUGAUCUGAUCC
rnacentral:rRNA from 1 species